AGAUCUACGGGGCGCAGCAGUGGGGAAUAUUGCACAAUGGGGGAAACCCUGAUGCAGCGACGUCGCGUGAGCGAUGAAGUAUUUCGGUAUGUAAAGCUCUAUCAGCAGGGAAGAAAAUGACGGUACCUGACUAAGAAGCCCCGGCUAACUACGUGCCAGCAGCCGCGGUAAUACGUAGGGGGCAAGCGUUAUCCGGAUUUACUGGGUGUAAAGGGAGCGUAGACGGCGAUGCAAGCCAGAUGUGAAAGCCCGGGGUUCAACCCCGGGACUGCAUUUGGCACUUUAUAGCUAGAGUGUCGGAGAGG
rnacentral:rRNA from 1 species